rnacentral:misc_RNA from 1 species
AAGUCGUAACAAGGUUUCCGUAGGUGAACCUGCGGAAGGAUCAUUAUCGAAAAAGGGAUGGCUCUGGCUGUCGCUGGCCUCUUCAAACCGAGGGGCAUGUGCACGCUCGAGUCAUCAAAAAACCCUUCAUUCCUGUGAACUCCUGUAGGGCCUUGAGAGCUCUUGCUCUCGAGGGUCUAUGUCUUUCUCACACAAACACAUACAGUACAUAGAAUGUGAAAGUCGCCUCGGCGCAAAUGUAUAAGAACACAACUUUUAGCAAUGGAUCUCUUGGCUCUC